GGGCUAGUGGCGCAAUGGAUAACGCGUCUGACUACGAAUCAGGAGAUUCCAGGUUCGACU
rnacentral:tRNA from 1 species